GAAAGCCGGAUGCGCUGAAAGGCGCACGUCCGAUUUGGGGAAGGGUGCGGGCGUCAAACUGCCUGGCGUAAGUCAGGUGGGUCGGUUCGCACCUAUUCUAC
rnacentral:ncRNA from 1 species